rnacentral:lncRNA from 1 species
AAUGUUGUCUGAAAUACAUGCUAUACAUAUAUUGAUAUAUUAUAAAACGGGUAAAAUACAGAAAAUUUCUUUAUAAAUACCCAUUUUUUCACUUUCCAUCCUCGACUUACAAAAAUCUAUAUUUUGUCCCCUUCAAAUUUCAAAAAUGUUUUCAAGAGUGCACGAUGUUAAUGAAUAGGACAAAAAUGAUUAAAUUACCUUUACUUCUUCUAUAAAGAGAAAAUAAUUUUUAAAUAUAUUUCUGUCAUAUUGAUGAAUAUUUUCGGUAUAAUUUAUAAAUAAAUGGAUGGAACAAUGAUGGAACUUUAACGAAGGAGGACUAAAUGUAAUAACUUGAAAUGUUGAGGGAAUAAAAUAUAAAUU